GACGAACGCUGGCGGCGUGCCUAAUACAUGCAAGUCGAACGAGAGCGACCGGUGCUUGCACUGGUCAAUCUAGUGGCGAACGGGUGAGUAACACGUGGGUAACCUGCCCAUCAGAGGGGGAUAACAUCCGGAAACGGAUGCUAAAACCGCAUAGGUCUUCGAACCGCAUGGUUCGAAGAGGAAAAGAGGCGCAAGCUUCUGCUGAGGGAUGGACCCGCGGUGCAUUAGCUAGUUGGUGAGGUAACGGCUCACCAAGGCCGUGAUGCAUAGCCGACCUGAGAGGGUGAUCGGCCACACUGGGACUGAGACACGGCCCAGACUCCUACGGGAGGCAGCAGUAGGGAAUCUUCCGCAAUGGACGCAAGUCUGACGGAGCAACGCCGCGUGAGUGAAGAAGGUUUUCGGAUCGUAAAACUCUGUUGUUAGGGAAGAACAAGUGCUAGAGUAACUGUUAGCGCCUUGACGGUAUCUAACCAGAAAGCCACGGCUAACUACGUG
rnacentral:rRNA from 1 species